rnacentral:rRNA from 1 species
GACGAACGCUGGCGGCGUGCUUAACACAUGCAAGUCGAACGGAAAGGCCCUGCUGGCGGGGUACUCGAGUGGCGAACGGGUGAGUAACACGAGGGUGAUCUGCCCUGCACUUCGGGAUAAGCCUGGGAAACUGGGUCUAAUACCGGAUAGGAGCCAUUUGUAGUGAGAUGGUUGGAAAGUGAUUUGGGGGUAGGUUGGGUUGGCGGCCUAUUAGUUUGUUGGUGGGGUAAUGGCCUACCAAGGCGGCGACGGGUAGCCGGGCUGCGUGGGGGGACGGCCACAGUGGGAAUGAGUUACGGCCCAGACUGCUACGGGAGGCAGGAGUGGGGAAUAUUGCAGAAUGGGCGAAAGCCUGAGGCAGCGACGCCGCGUGGGGGAUGACGGCCUUCGGGUUGUAAACUCCUUUCGCUAGGGACGAAGCAUUUUGUGACGGUACCUAGAUAAGAAGCACCGGCUAACUACGUG